rnacentral:lncRNA from 1 species
GGAACUGUUCUGCGCAUGUGCCCUAGGAUUAACAACUCCUUCCUACAUCCCCAGCCAGUUUGCUACCGCCUGCUCUCAAUCAGCCUGAGUUAGCGAAGCCACGGACCACUCUCCCUCUGGGGAAGGAGCCGCAGCAACAGGCCGCCCAAACAGACAGCAGAGUGGAAGCAUCCGAGUGGUCAUCACCACCAGCGGGGUUUCAGGUCAAGAACAGGCAGAGGGACUCGGGGGAUAGUUCCCUUGAGGCAAGACCUGGAGAAAGUCCCACCAACAGCUGGAUAGACACUUGGGAAAGAGGAGCCAUGGACAUUAGCGUCACAGUAAAUUGAACAAAUGAAGAGAUUGUAAACCGAGUUCGUGCUCAGAGACCCAUGCCGCCGGCAGCCCUCAUUUAGAGAUAUCGUUCAAUACUCUACCUGCCUUUCUUCUAAAGCCGUGCUCACCAGAGGGCCUUUAAGUAGUAACUCAGAUUCCCAAAUAUUUUCAUGGAGGAGAAUGCGCUGGUUGUUGGUAGUGUGUAUACCAGUUGUCAGGAAGGCUUUUUUUUUUUCCUUUUUUUUUUCUGGUACUGGGAAUUGAACUCAGGACCUUGGACUUGACAGGCAGGUGUGGCACCACUGAGCUACAUUUCCAGCUGAGGAAGGCUCUCUUUUGUUAUGUUUAUUAUUGUUACUCUCUGGUCUACACAGCAAACUUCUAUGAGUUUGGUAAAUAUGAGUCAGUUUUAAGAUGAUUUGUUAUGUAGUUAUUUUGAUCCUGCCACACCAAGUGUGAGAUUUUAGACCAUUCCAUCUGUAUUUUUGAGAGCUGUCAUUACAAAAUGCCACAGACUGGAUGUCUUUCCCACCAGAAGCAUAUUUUCUCUUAGUUUUGGAAUGUAGCAAUCCAAGAUCAUGGUGCUGACAAGACUGGACUUGACCGAGGCUCGAGGCUUGCAGUGGGCUGUAUUCCCCCUGUGUGCAUAAGUGUGGUCUUUCCUGUGUGCUCUGUUGUUUCUUCCUCUUCUUGUCUAUUCACCAGCCAGGUUGGAUCAGGCCCC